UACGGAGGGUGCGAGCGUUGUCCGGAAUCACUGGGCGUAAAGGGCGCGUAGGCGGCCGCGUUAGUCGGUUGUGAAAUCCCGGGGCUCAACUCCGGGGCUGCAUCCGAUACUGCGUGGCUGGAGUGCGGCAGGGGCGAGCGGAAUUCCCGGUGUAGCGGUGGAAUGCGUAGAUAUCGGGAAGAACACCAGUGGCGAAGGCGGCUCGCUGGGCCGUUGCUGACGCUGAGGCGCGAAAGCGUGGGGAGCAAACAGG
rnacentral:misc_RNA from 1 species